rnacentral:lncRNA from 1 species
UUUAAGGUUGUUUUCUAAUGUUUAUAGUGAAUAGCAUCCACAGAAACAAGUAAAAACAUGUACUGUCAAUGGCUAUAUUGAAUAAAAAGAAAAAAAGAAUUGGAGACAACAAAGGUAGACAAGAGAGUUCAACCAUGGAUAAACCAUACAUUCAAGCAAAAGUAAUAAUUCAUCAUAAUAAUAUAUAGUCACUAAGAAACAAGUUUGAUAAUCCUUAAAAGAGAGACCAAAAUCUAUAAUUGCUUGGCUGGAGACAGUAAUAAACAAUUCAGCUCUCUGCAACAUUUGAUUUACUAUAUAAUCCAUCUCUUAUAUCUAUAACUUGAAACAGAUUAAAAUGUUGCCCAUAUCUUCCUCUGUACCUGUUAAAAACCAAAAUAUAUCAAUCAUUGCAUUGGUCCAAUUCAGGGAGAUUUUGAUUAAGUAGCAAAGGUACCUUUAUAAGUAUAUAUCCUGAUUGGCAAACAAGUAUUAGUAAUAUAGAGACCCUGUAGAAAUAACAAACAUGUUAAACCUUUGAAUUGGAAUGUUUUUGUCCAAAUAGGCAAUUAUACAAUACCUAGCCAAAUUCGAGAUUGUCAUCACUAAACAACCUCUACUUCAUCAUGAGUACUGCAACAUGGUAUCAAAGCUAAGUAAUGAUUUACCUAGAAGCUUGGUCAGCUAGUUUUAUGACUCAAACAUAAGCAGAAAUUAGUAGCGUUUAUCUAACGUUUAUGCCUCAAGACCAGGCUAAAAAGGAUGACCAGAACCCUAUUGUUAUUGAUGAACAUGGUAAGUACUCAAACCAUAAACAAAUUGGUAUAAUGAUAUUUCCUUGAAAGGCUCACUAAAUUGCCUGAUGGUAUUUUACAGCAAAGUUGGCAUGAUCAAUUCUGCCCAGAAAUUGUUUGACAAAAUGCUAGAACUAAAAUGUCGUCCUACUAUAUUAAAUUGUAGAACUAAAAUGCUAGAACUAAAAUGCCAGAAAUUGUUCGACAUUUAGCCCUUCUUCUUCAAGUGUUCUUUACUAGUCCAUUACAGAAAACAAAAGCAUAAAAAAUCAGCAUUGUAACAACAAACGAGAGGUGAAUUCAUUCUAAAAGUUGAAAAGUAAAGAGAUUUUGAAUGGGAGAAGAAAUAAAAAUAUGGGUUUUGAAUGGGAGAAGAAAAUCUCCCAAAGAGAAGCACCAGUGGUAGAGAAGAGAAGAAAAUAUACAAAAGAAAUAUUGAUAAAAAUCAAUCCCAUAAUAAAGACAAACAAAAAUAUACAGAAGAAGAAAAGAAAAAGAUAAACUCACCGGUGGUGGAGAAGAGGAACAAAGAACCAGAGACUUCUUAAGUGGAGAAGAGGAACAAAGAACCAGCGAUGAAAAAGAAUAAAGAACCAGUGAUUAAGAGAUGAAAUCAAAGUGCUUUCUGGAUGAAAAUAAAGAACCAGCGUUGUGUUUGGCUAAAAAAAGUAAAAUACCAGCCCAAAAGCACUUUUUGGCUAAAAAAGCUAAGAAAUUCUGCUUUUUCAUAUGCCCAAAAGCACUUCAAAUAAGUUGAAAAUUUGCUAUCACUGAAGUCUGUUCUUUAUUGCUUUUUAGAGAAAACUAUUUUUACAUGCGAAAGCUCAUCUGAAAAGCAUUAAAGAACACAGCAUCGUUUGGGAAUUUUGUUAAACACGUGGUGUACAAGGAUUUUAGUUAAAAAAUUUAAGAAAAGGUUUAGGAAAAGCAAACCCCCUGCAUCAAAACACAAAUUUUAUAGUACAUAUCAACCCAAUAAUCCAUUAAGA